UCGGCCAGCGAAGUUGUAGUGUUUUGUAAAGAGCUUAAGAUACAUUCCCAAAAGAGACUGGGCUACCUUGAUAGAAAAACAUUUUGUAUAUGUCUGGAGUCUUUGCAAGGACUUUCCCUCCUGCAAAUACAUAUGUUAGAAGUGGAGGAAGUUCAAGUAGACCAUAACAAAAAAAUAUACAACUUAAGAGAUUUCGCUGGUGACGAAAUAUUUAGUAUCACUGUGAUAUUUGGAAAACGACUUGAAUUGAAGUACUUAACCUUAGUCUUUGAAGAUAAAGAGGUUUUUGAAAAGUGGUUGUUCAUAGAGAAAAUAUUAAAAUUCAAAGAUGAGAGAAACUUGGGGCGUUUAGGGAACGUGCCGGACGAAGCUUUUUAUUUUCAU